GUCGAGAAUCUUUCACAAUGGGGGCAACCCUGAUGGAGCGACGCCGCGUGGAGGAUAAGGUCUUCGGAUUGUAAACUCCUGUCAUGCGUGAACAAGGUUGCUUGGUUAAUACCUGGGCAAAUUGAUGGUAACGCAAGAGGAAGAGACGGCUAACUCUGUGCCAGCAGCCGCGGUAAUACAGAGGUCUCAAGCGUUGUUCGGAAUCACUGGGCGUAAAGGGCGCGUAGGCGGGAAGGUGUUUCGACCUGUAAAUCUAUCGUUUCAAGCGGUAGGCUUGGGUGGAAACUGCCGUUCUAGAGGAUUUCAGGGGAGUUUGGAAUUUACGGUGUAGCAGUGAAAUGCGUGGAUAUCGUAAGGAAGGCUUGUGGCGAAGGCGAAACUCUGGGGAAUACCUGACGCUGAGGCGCGAAGGCUAGGUUAGCAAACGGGAUUAGAAACCCGGGUAGUCC
rnacentral:rRNA from 1 species